rnacentral:rRNA from 1 species
UACGAAGGGUGCAAACGUUAUUCGGAAUCACUGGGCGUAAAGGGUGCGUAGACGGUAUGUUAAGUUCGUUGUUAAAGGCUCCGGCCCAACCGGAGUAUUGCGAUGAAAACUGGCACACUAGAGGGUGAGAGAGAGAAGUGGAAUUCCCGGAGUAGCGGUAAAAUGCGUGGAUCUCGGGAGGAACACCAAUGGCGAAGGCAGCUUCUUGGCUCAUACCUGACGUUGAGGCACGAAAGCGUGAGGAGCAAACAGG